rnacentral:rRNA from 1 species
AUUGAACGCUGGCGGCAGGCCUAACACAUGCAAGUCGAGCGAGCGGCGGACGGGUGAGUAAUGUCUGGGAAACUGCCUGAUGGAGGGGGAUAACUACUGGAAAAGGUAGCUAAUACCGCAUACCAUCAGAUGUGCCCAGAUGGGAUUAGCUGGUAGGGGGGGUAACGGCUCACCUAGGCGACGAUCCCUAGCUGGUCUGAGAGGAUGACCAGCCACACGGGAACGGAGACACGGCCCAGACUCCUACGGGAGGCAGCAGUGGGGAAUAUUGCACAAUGGGCGCAAGCCUGAUGCAGCAAUGCCGCGUGUGUGAAGAAGGCCUUCGGGUGGUAAAGCACUUUCAGCAGGGAGGCGUUACCCAAAGAAGAAGCACCGGCUAACUCCGUGCCAGCAGCCGCGGUAAUAC